rnacentral:rRNA from 1 species
AUAACCUGCCCUGUGGAGGGAAAUAACCCCGGGAAACUGGGGAUAAUGUCCCAUAGGCUACAGAUGCUGGAAUGCUCUGUAGCUCAAAGAUUUAUCGCCACAGGAUGGAUCUGCGGCCGAUUAGGUAGUUGUUGGGGUAACGGCCCAACAAGCCUUUGAUCGGUACGGGUUGCGGGAGCAAGAGCCCGGAGAUGGAUUCUGAGACACGAAUCCAGGCCCUACGGGGCGCAGCAGGCGCGAAAACUUUACAAUGCGGGAAACCGUGAUAAGGGAACUCCGAGUGUCCGUAAAUGCGGACUGUCCGUAUGUCUAAAAAGCAUGCGAAGAAAGGGCCGGGCAAGACCGGUGCCAGCCGCCGCGGUAAUACCGGCGGCUCGAGUGGUGGCCACUAUUACUGGGCUUAAAGCGUUCGUAGCUGGGUCGUUAAGUCUCUUGGGAAAUCUACCGGCUUAACCGAUAGGCGUCCAAGGGAUACUGGCGAUCUAGGGACCGGGAGGGGUGAGGGGUACUUCAGGGGUAGGAGUGAAAUCCUGUAAUCCUUGGGGGACCACCUGUGGCGAAGGCGCCUCACCAGAACGGCUCCGACAGUGAGGGACGAAAGCUGGGGGAGCAAACCGGAUUAGAUACCCGGGUAGUCCCAGCCGUAAACGAUGCGCGUUAGGUGUAUCGAUGACCACGAGUCAUCGAGGUGCCGAAGGGAAACCGUGAAACGCGCCGCCUGGGAAGUACGGUCGCAAGGCUGAAACUUAAAGGAAUUGGCGGGGGAGCACCACAACAGGUGGAGCCUGCGG